rnacentral:rRNA from 1 species
AGGAUCAACGCUGGCGGCGUGCCUAAUACAUGCAAGUCAAACGGACCCUUCGGGGUUAGUGGCGGACGGGUGAGUAACACGUGGGAACGUGCCCUUUGGUUCGGAACAACUCAGGGAAACUUGAGCUAAUACCGGAUGAGCCCUUCGGGGGAAAGAUUUAUCGCCAUUGGAGCGGCCCGCGUCUGAUUAGCUAGUUGGUGAGGUAAAGGCUCACCAAGGCUUCGAUCAGUAGCUGGUCUGAGAGGAUGAUCAGCCACACUGGGACUGAGACACGGCCCAGACUCCUACGGGAGGCAGCAGUAGGGAAUCUUGCGCAAUGGGCGAAAGCCUGACGCAGCCAUGCCGCGUGAAUGAUGAAGGUCUUAGGAUUGUAAAAUUCUUUCAGCGGGGACGAUAAUGACGGUACCCGCAGAAGAACGCCCGGCUAACUUCGCGCCAGCAGCCGC